GGCCAACAUAUCCACUACCCAUAUAAGGAUCAUAAUCCCCAAGCCUAGGACCGAGAGCUGCAGGAGUCCUAUAGGAUGAAGGGCCAUACCCACUAACACCAUAACCAUUAUACGAGGUGCCAUAUCUACCAUAACUGUCACCAAUUGGGCGGGACCUAGAGUCGCUACCAAAUGCUGAUCCUGGAGGGUUAGAGGCUUUCUUUGGUUCUGCUUUCUUGAUCUCCACCUGACUACCAGCAAAAUCUAUUUUAUUUCCCUUCGCUAACAGCUCAUCUACAACAUUUUCACUAUCAAAGAUAACAAAGCCAAAGCCUCUAGACCGCUUGGUGGUAUGAUCACGUAAAAUCUCUUGGUCCACGACCUUUCCAUACUUGGUGAAGAAAUUCUUCAAUUCAUCUUCGUUCACAGAUGCUGGGAUCCCA
rnacentral:misc_RNA from 1 species